AGCAGGUUCUCCCAAUUCAAUGCUUUCUUUCAAUGCCAAAGCACGCACUGUCAUUGGCCGUGGUAAAAUUUCUGGAGGAGGUGCAAAGAUGUCAUGUCCACUGAGCUCCUUGCACUUGGCUUCAGAAAGCUGCUUCUUCAACCUGGCCUCUUUCUCAGCCUCACUUUCUAAGGUCCCACUUAGUUCUCGUUGCUUUGCCACCUCAGGUAAAGUAGUAGGUUUUUU
rnacentral:misc_RNA from 1 species